UGGGGAAUUUUCCGCAAUGGGCGAAAGCCUGACGGAGCGACGCCGCGUGGAGGAUGUCGUAUUUCGGUAUGUAAACUCCUGUCAGGGGGGACGAUAAUGACGGUACCCCCAAAGGAAGCAUCGGCUAACUACGUGCCAGCAGCCGCGGUAAGACGUAGGAUGCAAGCGUUGUUCGGAUUUAUUGGGCGUAAAGCGAGCGUAGGUGGCUAGUUAAGUCUGGUGUUAAAGCUAGGGGCUCAACCCCUGUGAUGCACUGGAAACUGGCUGGCUUGAGGAUGGUAGGGGAAGGUGGAAUUCCGAGUGUAGCGGUGAAAUGCGUAGAUAUUCGGAGGAACACCGGUGGCGAAAGCGACCUUCUGGGCCAUUUCUGACACUGAGGCUCGAAAGCUUGGGGAGCAAACGG
rnacentral:rRNA from 1 species